GGCCCAAUAGCACAGUGGUUAGUGCACCUGCUCUAAGUUAUGUUUGUUUCUUGCCAUGACUACAAGCAGAAGGUCCCUCGUUCAAUUCGGGGUUGGGCCA